UUCAAGACAAAACUAACAAAAAAUUAUCUUAAAAAGAAAACAUCAAUUUAGUACAAUCUACUAAAUUUAAUUAAGAUCUCAUAAGAAUAACAGAAACAUAAUAAUAUUGAAGAAGAGAGAAACUGUAACACCCCGUAUUCUACGUUGCCUUGUGGUAUAGUUAUGGACUUGAAUUUCUAUGCGACUAGUGACAAUAGAAUAGGUUUAAAGUGAGAUAGUAAAAGGUGGUAUUUGAUGUAAGAGUCAAAGUGGUCAAGUGCGUAUUAGUGUUACGGUCUUGUAAAGAAACUAAGAUUGGGAAAAUGGUGUAAAAUAAGUGAGGUGCUUGCUUGACUAAACUGUGCUAGUAGAUGACAAGUAGGUGAUACACCUACUUAGAAUUAGUGGACUGCAUUCUAAGUGGAAAGGGCAAGUAGGUGAUCCACCUACUUAAACACUUGUGGCAGAAAUUAAGGAGGUGAUGCACCUCCUUGCUUAAAAGUAAUGGACCAUAUUAUAUCUCUAAUUUAAUAAGUGAAAACGUCCAAAAGGGACAUCUAAAGAACUCAAUCUUAUCACAUCUCCUUCAUCACUUAUUCUCCAAAAAAUUGCUCCCAAGGAAAGCCAUUGAAGCUCCAAGAGUUCUAGACUAUAGCUUCACCAUUAAAAUUUGAAGCAAAGCCUUUCUUUUUAAAGUACAAGUUAGUAGAACAUACCCAUCUUAAGGAAUUUAGGUGAAUAAUUUGAUUUAACAUCAAGUUAUGGGGGAGAGGACAACCUAAACCUGGAAGAAUCCAAGUCUUAGCAAGUGAGGAUUCUAUCCAGCAAGAUAAAUAAUCUGAAAGGAAGACGAUUAACUCAUUGUAAUAUCCAAAGUUGUGCAACAAGGUAUGUAAGGCUAUUCGAUUUCCUAUUUCUUUGGCAUGAAUCCAACACUUGUAUUACAAAAAGUAAGCUUUCUAAGUGCCCUUGGUAGUGACUAAUCCAUAGUUGUUAUUCCUACUCCCUAGAGCAUUAAAGUGAGUACUCUAAUAUGAGUUUAUUACUAAAUGUGCGUGCUUACUCUACCAAGUAUUAGCAUGCAAGGUUUAAACGUGUUUCAUCGCCAAAGUACCCUUGGCAUGUAUUCCCCUUAUAUAAAUCAAAGUGAUCCUAGAUUACACAUGGUACAUAUGUUUAUAUGUUGGAUAUACAGUCUGCCCAUUUCAAGCAAACUUCCUUCAAUUGUCUAUUCCAUCAUAUAUGUCAUCUUGUCACAUGUUCAUAUGUUCCCUUUAUUGGUUAUUACUUCCAUUGUGUUAGACUAUUAUGUAACAAGAUCCCCACUUGCUCUAUUGUACAUUUUAUAUGUACGUACUUGGAAUAUGUAUCCGUCCUUAAGUUGAAUCUGCCCACGUUCUCCCUUGGUUGUACUUUCAUGUGUACCUUGUAGUUGAUAUUAGUUAGUGAGUAUUUGGAUACCAUAUAGAGUUCAAAUCUCUUGGCUGAAUGUUAAAUGUCUUCACUAGAUAUGUGAUUCAAUUUGAGAUGUCAAAAUGCUUACUGAGUCAUAUAAGCUCCUAAGUAUUAAGUUGGUGUCACAUUUGCUUCCCAUGUCAUUGUUAUUAUCGUAAGUCCAUAUUCACAUGUCUUCCACUACUGGUCAAAAGUUCCAAAUCUCAACAAUGAUGAUGACCACCUAAACAACAAUCUCAAAAGAGUUAUGAUCAUCAAAAAAAUAAUAUCAAAAAAGUUAUGAACAUCAAAACAACAAUCUCAAGGAUUAAAGAAUCUAAGAGAAGCAAUUUGUAUAAUGAUGGGUGGCAGCCUAGGUGCAAAUGCCUAGCAUGAGUCGAUCUCAAUUAGUAUGGAAGAGUGGCAGCUCCGGGACGAAAGCCUAGCAUGGGCCGAUCCCAAUUAGUAUAGAAGGGUGGCUGCUCAGGGGCAAAAGCCUAGCAUGGGCCGAUCCCAGUUCGUUGAAUUAUGAAGACAGCAUCCCAGGGGUUAAAUACCUAGCAUGGGUCAUCCUCUUGUACCACUGAUCAGCUGGUCAUUGGUAUCAUAUGCCUUAUAAAGAUUAGAACACACAGAAAAGUAAAGAAAAGAAUGUAAUAUACACGAUUCAAAAAGUAUAAGCAAAUGUGGUCUCUAAUCCUUACCUAUUUGUAUUUGGUUUCACUUGAGCUCUCAUUUUACAUAUGGUUGUAUUAUGCCAUACAUAUUCAGUAUAUUCUUCCGUACUGACAUCCCUUAUUAGGGACGCUGCAUUCCAUGCUGCAGUAUAAUUACUCAACUAGUAGAUCUCCCCCGUAGAAGCACAUGAUACUCAACGGUUGUUGGUGAGCUCCAGGUUGAUUUGGGGCUUUGCCGAGUCUUUACUAUGCGUAUUUUGAUAGUUGUACAGUCGUGGAUUCUAGUAUAGGCUUUGUAGAUAUUUUAAAACUAUCAUUUGUAUUCAUAGUUUUACCUGUCACAUGUAUUGGUUCAGCUAGUCGACAUGUGUUGUAUUAGCUUCUCAGUAGCAAAUCUAUAUGCAUAGUAGUUCACUUUCUCGUCGUAGGUCACUUGUAAAGCAUGUGUUCAUAUGGUACUUGUCCGCCUAACCUAGGGUGGGGUGUGACAAAAGUGGUAUCAGAGUCGUUCAUCCUACGGAGUCUACAAAGCCGUGUCUAGUAGAGCCAUACUUAUGAAUGUGUUGUGUGCCAUAUUUAUAAAUAGGGACUGCUUGGACAUUUAGCAAAUGUUACCUUCCUUCAUAAUCUAAAUCGUGCGAUAGAGCGAAGUUAAGAAGUCAAUUUCCACUUGUACCUGAUCAUGUUAGUCAUAUUAUGCGUACUAUGGUUAAGGUUAUUGGUAGCUAAAAUGUCAACAAAACUUUAUUGAGCUCAUUUUAUUCGACCAUCCUACUCCACAAGGUAUGUAAAGGUUUUUAUGUUAGUUUCAUCUAAAGUUGCAUUUGUACCAUUUGUAUCACGUUUGUUCAGUUGAGAAAGAUAUAGUAUGCUUAUCCAUAUUCUUAAAAAAUGAUGGGUUACCUUGUUACAUAUAGGAGCUGUAGCAUUUCCAACCACAUCUUCUUAGGAGGAUAUACCCACUCUUGAGUUCUAUAUUUCCCCAUAUUUACAGGAUCUAUUCCUAAAGAGGACACUCGUUCUUAGUCUAUGAUAUACAUAGAAUUUUCAGCGUUACACAUGUACUCGAAAUUGAUGUUGUGGAAACCAGUUUCUUUUAGUUGGAAAAAGGCAGUGACACAAUCUGAUAGGUGCAUGUACCAGUGCAAUUCUGUUACUAGAGAGGUACCUAAUUGGCUGACAAGGCCCAAAUUCUCACCAUAUAUCAUCCCAAAUAUGUUAAUAGUUGGCAUUUUAUAUGAUAUGUGCCAACUACCCCGAAUAAGUACUAAUAACAUUUAUAUUCUUUUCAUGAUUAUAAAACUUAGGGACAAGUGUGCUAAUUGCUGCAAAUGAUAUAUGGAUGGCAGUUCCUACUACAAUCUAUAUUUUGGUGAUAGAGGAUUAGUAUGUGACCAAAGGGUAAGGUUAACAAAAGGAAAAUUGAUUGGUUAGACCUAAAUUGUGAUUAAUGAGGUUGUACAUAGUGGGAUUAGAGCACAUGAAGCUACUAGUUUUGAUUAAAAGGUACUUGUUAGACAGGAAGCAUGUGAGAAUGAAGCGUGAAUGACACAUGCCGAAUAUGUACGUAGAGCUUCUAGUUAGAAAGAGAUUGUACAUGUAAAAUCCCCUAAACAUAGGAGUAGGGGUGAUAUGAGGAUGCUAUAGAAGAGUGAGAUAGAUGGUUACGAAAGAGUGGUUGCUACGUGUAUGAGGCAAGAAUAAGGUAUCAACCUUCAACCCUAACAAGUUAUAAAGGUGCACCUUGGAACAACUUUGUGAACCUUUGUUAGAUAGAAAAGUCAUUUUAGUAUUGCUUCAAGCUUUGAUAUUUGGUCUUGAUAACAAAAAAAAAAAAAAAGGGAAUAGAAAGGCUACCUGGAGAGAAGAUACAUGGACAUAAUUCAUCUACAUCAUUAGUACAAAAGAGAAGUAGAGCAUUAUACACAUGUAUAGACUUCCAUCAAUUGAAUAGAGCUAUUACAUGAUUCAUUUAAUAUAUGCCUAUAGUAAUUCAUCAAUCAUAGUCCAAUUAAGGGAGAGGAAAAAUUCAUCAUAUGCUAGUUGUUCGUAUUUGAUAUCUUGCAUGGGAAAAGAGUGGGAGCACCCUCACUUGUUAUAAAAAAAAUGAGGAAAUUUAUUAGCAUGGCCAGACCUAUCUAGUUAAGCCGAAAGCCGGCUAACUGUAAGACGUUAUGAAUCAUGAUAUAACUUUAUAGGUACCUGACAUUAGAGUUCAUGUUUUAUGGUCUGUUCAAGUUUCACUAUUUAUUUUCUAUUUUGACCUUGAAAAGGCACCAGACAUUGAGUGUGAUGUUACACAAACUAGUAAAAGAGGUAAAGUUGACCUCGACCUCUUACUCUAAAAGAUGAACCAUUGCAGAUUUUUUUCUCUCUAUCUUAAAUGUAGUAUUUAUAUUAACCUAGAAGGAAGCCAAUCCCCAAUAGCAGAACACCUAUAAUAAUUCUGAGGAGAUUGAAGAGAGUAAAUGGGGAAAUCAAUUGUAUAUGCUUUGAGGUGAGUAAGGAAUAUGAGCAGAACUAUCCCACCCGUGACCUAACUCUUAAGACAAUGUUUUUUUCCCAUAAUAUGGUAAAGUGGUUCUAUAGGAUAUCUCAUAGUUUUCAAAGAUGGUUUGUUAUAUAAUUAUAUAUGCUACAUGUUCUAUAACUCAUCUUUUUGUAUGACAUUUGUCCUUUAUGGAUUACUUUCUCACAUGUUACCUAAUGUCAUAGAAUGCUUGCAUGUAAGUGGUUUCCGCUUCGGAGCACCCUUGCUUAUUGCUAUAUGUUUUCGUAGGACCUUUCCCUACAUGUUGUUUAUUGCACUGGUUACUUCCCAGAGCACCCUUGUUUAUUGUUGUAUGUUUUCGUAGGACCUUUUUCCCUACAUGUUAUUUACUGCACUGGCUACUUCCCACAUGUCACUUGUCCAUAUUGUGUGGGUAUUGCAGGAUAAUUGAUUAUAUGCUAUGGGCAAAAUUAGUGCUUAUAUGAAUCGCAUACCACUUGUUUGCAUGUCAUAUGCAUCAUAAACCAUUUCUAUAUAUAUUACAUGCCUUGUAGCCUACUUGCUUAAACAUUACAGGCCUUAUAGCUUUUAUGGCCAUGUGUCAUGUGCUCAUCUAGUCCAUUUGCUACAUGCCUUAUAGUACAUUGGCUCACACGCUGCCCUAUAAUUCAUAUGUGCACAUACACUACAUAUUUAUAUAGCCUAGUGCCCGUAUAUUAUGCGCUCCCUUUUGUGCUAGUCUGCCUAUGUGUCAUACCCAAUGUGACUUAUUUCUCCAUAUACUAUGCCCAUCUGUGCUUAUUGACUUGAGUUUUGAACAUUUUGGGAAAACGUUUCCUUGUAUCAUUAUGUAGUGAAGAUUUUGACCAGAAAAGGUUGGGCAUAUAUAUAAAUUUUAUCACAAUCAUAGAUAAAUUACUUAGAAUAAUGCCUCAUUCGAGGGUGCGACAUAAAAUUUAGAGUUUAUAUUAACACGUAUGCGUUAUUAUAAGACUCACCUCUAAAAAGGGUCAUAAGAUAAAAGAGAAGGGAAAGUAGAGCCCCGAUAGGUUAGGCCUAUGAUUUUAUGUGUCCGUUCCAUAUAGUUGUUUUUAGGAAAUACUAUAGUUAUUCUUGAUUGUUAAGGCCCGAAAGCUAAGAACAAAAGGUGUAACCUCCAUUGAGGUGUUGUGGAAGGACUAGAAUAUAACGUAAGAUACUUGGGAAUAAAAGAUGGUAGAGAUCCUAAACACCCCUCCACAUUCUAAACAUCAACAUAAGGAUAUGAGAUCAUAUGGUCCCCUUAUAUGAUCAUAAGUCCUACUAGCAUUUGUUCAUUUGAUAUGCCAUUUGCAUGUUUUUUGUUUAGUAGGUAUAUUAAAUUUCUUAUUUGUAUGAGUUCUACUUGUGUAUCAUCAGUGAAUUAUAUGGUCAAGAAAGGGGUUUAAUUACUCAUAUUUAUAUUUCAUGAACCAUAUCUAGUGAGACAUCAUGCGAGACUUUUCUCUGUGUUUUAGGUUAUUCUAUAGAUUUUGGAUAUUCCAGUUGAUAAAAGGAACUCUCGCAAAUCUCCAAAUGAAAUUCAAGAUUAACCAAACUAUCAACUACACCUAUCAUUCGUCCUCGAAUGAUCAUAAGGGGGGAAGGAUGUGACACCACAUAUUCUACGAUGCCUUGUGGUAUAGUUAUGGACUCAGAUUUCUAUGCGACUAGUGACAAUAGAAUAGGUUUAAAGUGAGAUAGUAAAAGUUGGUAUUUGAUGUAAGAGUCAAAGUGGUCAAGUGCGUAUUAGUGUUAUGGUCUUGUAAAGGAACUAAGACUGGGAAAAUGGUGUAAAAUAAGUGAGGUGCUUGCUUGACUAAACUGUGCUAGUAGGUGACAAGUAGGUGAUACACCUACUUAGAAUUAAUGGACUGCAUUCUAAGUGGAAAGGGCAAAGUAGGUGAUGCACCUACUUAGAAUUAGUGGACUACAUUUUAAGUGAAAAGGGCAAGUAGGUGAUCCACCAACUUAAAAACUUGUGGCAGAAAUUAAGGAGGUGAUGCACCUACUUGUUUAAAAGUAAAGGACCAUAUUAUAUCUCCAAUUUAAUAAGUGAAAACGUCCAAAAGGGACUCUAAAGCACUCAAGCUUAUCACAUCUCCUUCAUCACUUAUUGUCCAGAAAAUUGCUCCCAAGGAAAGCCAUAGAAGCUCCAAGAGUUCUGGUUUAUAGCUUCACCAUUAAAAUCUGAAGCAAAGCCUUUCUUUUUAAAGUACAAGUUAGUAGAACAUAUCCCAUCUAAAGGAAUUCAGGUGAAUAAUUUGAUUUAACAUCAAGUUAUG
rnacentral:lncRNA from 1 species